rnacentral:lncRNA from 1 species
AUUCACUUAAUCUAAAAAGUUCUUGAUGAUGUCAACAUUGAUAAUAUCAGUAUUUUAAUAACUUAUUUUUCAAAUUACCUUUUAUAGAAUUCUUCUUUAAAAAUAUGUAUAUUUCUUUUCAAAGUUGCAAAAGUUAUGGUUACAAACAUUCAACAUUUUCAACACUUUCAAUUAACUACAAUUUUGAAAAAAAGAAUACUGGUGCUCCAACUGCUGAGGUACCAAGAACUCAGCCUCUCAGACCACCUGAGCCAGGGGCAUCAUUAGUCUGGAUGUCAAUUUUGGGUGGGAGGGGGCUGCCCCCCCUUCUUUGUUCAACCACAAAAUGGUGAAUAUGGCUUUCUUGACUCAAGCCUCUGCUCCCUCAAAGAGGCCGUAACUCUACCUAUUGUGUGUCUACAACAUGUCCAGCGUGCUGUGACUCUCCCCCUAUGGAGAGGUGGUCCUGCCUGGACUGACCCCUGUGACAGGUGCACAGGUGAAUGCAGCAUCACUUCCGAGCUUGGGUAGAAAACCCCGUGGAGCUCCUGAAGACUCCCUUCUGGACACGGACACGGGUGCCUUCGCAAUACUGGCAGGGGGUGCCUCCUGCUGGCUUCCACGAAGCUGUCAUGUGGCAAAGUGAGAGAGAGAGAGAGAGAGAGAGAGAGAGACAUAGAGAUUCAGAUAAAUGGAGAAGAUAGAGACAGAGAGACAAAGAUACAGAGACAGAUGCAGUUUGAGAGAGGGAGAUACAGACAGAGAAGAUAAAGAAACAGAUAGACAGAUAAAGAUUAAGAAGUGGGGGGCAGGCCCAGGGACCCUCAGCUGUUUGAGUUUACCUGCCUGGGUCACAGGUAGGUGCAUGAAGGACGCUUCAGCCUUCCAGAUGACCAGCAGACCUCUGUAAAGUCUGGCCGCGGUUUCAUUGAGUGACUUUAAAUAAAAAGCAGCUGGCAGUGCUUCUUCAACUCCCACAUUGUAAGUUAAGUGAAUGAUCGUGAUUGAGGUGCUGUGUUGGGGUUGUUUGUAAGGCAGCCAGCAGAGGCAUCGAUUACUGAUACACCUAGUUUCAUAUUGACAGGAGAAGGCCAAAAAGCCAUUCUCAUUUUUAUUUCUUUAUAAGUAAACUCAUUUUCUUGGCUAGAGUGUAGGUAUUUUUUAAAUCUCAAAAGUUAAAGACAUUCAUCAAAAUCUUUUUUUCUUCAAUAUUUUGCCUUUUACUUAGGUAUUUCAUUUCUCAUAAUUUUUAUCUUAUUUUCUUCUUGCAUUUAUUGCAUUUGGAGAUUCUCAAGCAUGCCUUCAUUGCUGAUUUUCCUUCUACAGGACUGGUUGCUUCAAUCAGAACGCACAUGGUGAGUUUCCGAGCCUCGGUUCUGGGCAGCGCUCCUCCCCACCUCUGCCUGCACCUGGCUGGGCCCCACAUGCCUGCGACUGCAGCACCUCAUUCUUCCUCGGCCUUCACAGAGCUCAGGUUUCUGCCUGUUAAUUAAAACACAACCCAAGCAUGUUUUACCAUUUGCCUGCUGACCACUCCUCUAGCUCAGGGCCACACACAUUCUGUUCUUCUUUUGUUCUUAGCAUUUGACACUAUUUGACACAUUCGCUUUUUUAAUGAUGUUUUGGCUCCCUCUGUGAGAAUAUCAGGUCCGCAAGAGCUCGGCUGUGGUUUUGGUGCCUCUUUAUGCCCAGUGUGCUGAAUGCUGCCAGGCUCAUGCUAGCUCCUUAAGAAGUACUUGCAAUAUUACAUUUUAUCCAAUUAAAUUGAAUUUUGUUUUCCACAGAGUCCAUUUUGAAAUGUAUGUUUUCAUCUUUACUCUGAUUUUCUUUAUUUCUCCUACCACUCUCUUUAUGCAUUGUUACUUGAUUUUCUGUUAACUGAGUUUUGAGGGAGGAGAAGUUGGCCACUGUUGCCCACUGGCUGGGUGAGUGAGUCCGGUUCUCCCUUCUUACCAUCGGUUUGGUGGUUGUUGGAACUCGUCGAGCUUAAGGCGGGGAUCUGUGGAGGCACACGGCCCACAGUCAUGGUAGUCUGGAUGCCUGCCUUUCCCCGAGGCCAUCCUAAAACGCAGGUAUGACUCUUUUUUUUUUUUCUUCUUUUUUUGAGACGGAGUCUCGUUCUGUCGCCUAGGCUGGAGUGCAGUGGCUCGAUCUCGGCUCACUGCAAGCUCCGGCUCCUGGGUUCACGCCAUUCAUUCUCCUGCCUCAGACUCCCGAGGAGCUGGGACUACAGGUGCCUGCCACCACGCCCGGCUAAUUUUUUGUAUUUUUUAGUAGAGACGGGGUUUCACCAUGUUAGCCAGGAUGGUCUCAAUCUCCUGACCUCGUGAUCCGCCCACCUCGGCCUCCCAAAGUGCUGGGAUUACAGGCGUGAGACAGGGCACCCGGCAAAAUGCAGGUAUGACUCUUUUGUCCACUCUGCUGUUAGCUGGAAUGGACUGCUGCAGGCUUGUGAUGGGCCAUCUUAAAGAGGGAGACAGAGGCAGUCAGCUGAGGAGAAGCACCUGCUCUGUGAGGUGCUGGGGUCUUCCCUUCCCGGCUCCUGCUGCUCCCUGACCAGGCAGAGGCAG